rnacentral:rRNA from 1 species
GACGAACGCUGGCGGCGUGCUUAACACAUGCAAGUCGAACGGAAAGGCCUUUUCGGCGGUACUCGAGUGGCGAACGGGUGAGUAACACGUGGGUGAUCUGCCCUGCACUCUGGGAUAAGCCUGGGAAACUGGGUCUAAUACCGGAUAGGACCGCACUUUAGUGUGUGUGGUGGAAAGUUUUUUCGGUGUAGGAUGAGCCCGCGGCCUAUCAGCUUGUUGGUGGGGUAAUGGCCUACCAAGGCGGCGACGGGUAGCCGGACUGAGAGGUUGGUCGGCCACAUUGGGACUGAGAGACGGCCCAGACUCCUACGGGAGGCAGCAGUGGGGAAUAUUGCACAAUGGGCGCAAGCCUGAUGCAGCGACGCCGCGUGGGGGAUGACGGCCUUCGGGUUGUAAACUCCUUUCGCCAGGGACGAAGCGUUUUGUGACGGUACCUGGAGAAGAAGCACCGGCUAACUACGUG